UCUCCAGUGGCGCAGUUGGUUAGCGCAUGGUACUUAUAAUGCCGCGUCGCGAGUUCGAGCCUCGCCUGGAGAA
rnacentral:tRNA from 1 species